AUACAAAUCAUCUGGGGAACUUGUUUAAAUUCAGAUUUGAUUCUAUUUAUCUGAAGUUGAGCCUGAGAGUCUGAAUUUCCAAUCAGCUCUCAAGAGAUGCCUAC
rnacentral:pre_miRNA from 1 species